AAUAGAUACCCUGGUAGUCCACGCCGUAAACGAUGAGUGCUAAGUGUUAGAGGGUUUCCGCCCUUUAGUGCUGCAGCUAACGCAUUAAGCACUCCGCCUGGGGAGUACGGUCGCAAGACUGAAACUCAAAGGAAUUGACGGGGGCCCGCACAAGCGGUGGAGCAUGUGGUUUAAUUCGAAGCAACGCGAAGAACCUUACCAGGUCUUGACAUCCUCUGACAACUCUAGAGAUAGAGCGUUCCCCUUCGGGGGACAGAGUGACAGGUGGUGCAUGGUUGUCGUCAGCUCGUGUCGUGAGAUGUUGGGUUAAGUCCCGCAACGAGCGCAACCCUUGAUCUUAGUUGCCAGCAUUUAGUUGGGCACUCUAAGGUGACUGCCGGUGACAAACCGGAGGAAGGUGGGGAUGACGUCAAAUCAUCAUGCCCCUUAUGACCUGGGCUACACACGUGCUACAAUGGAUGGUACAAAGGGCUGCAAGACCGCGAGGUCAAGCCAAUCCCAUAAAACCAUUCUCAGUUCAGAUUGU
rnacentral:rRNA from 1 species